AAUGCUGAUAUAGAUUAGCAAGUAGGCUGGGGGGCGGGUUCUCCCAAACGAUCGGGAGGCGGCUCUGUUGGAAAUUUACAAAGGAAUCCACCUUUCCUUUCUGGUCAUCCCCUUGGCUUUGACCCCGUUCCACCCUUAGGAGGCCUUUCCCGGCGCCCCCUCCCUCGAGUCGCGCAGCCGUUUGUUUCUCUUGAGCAGCCCGAGGCCUGAGGAACCCCGCAUAACGACUGCCCCCGGUCCUCUGACCAGCCACGACCAGCCAGACCGGGCCAACCAGCUGAGCCCCCAAAGGACUUUAUGUUCGAUUAGAAGUUACCCGUGCCCUCUGUGGCCAAAUGUCCAAGGCCCCGAGAGUGAAUGCAAAGCUCUAACAACAUGCUCUCUCCAACUAAAUCUUCCAAUACAAGGAAUCAAGUAUCUUGUCUAUGCUGAAGAACUUACUGGUGUUCAUGGAAAAGUGAUUGCUUUCAAGCAGGAUGUGCUGUGUAGAAUGUGCACACUGCCUGGGAGGCUGCCUCCUUCCUCUGAUGUUGUUUGGUAUCCUGUCAAAUAUCCUGCUCUGCUUCCCUGUAAUGACCGUAGUGAAAUUUGAACAACUUAGUGAUGAAGUCACAUACUUUGGAGGAAUAAUCGGAUGUGGGAUAAUAAUGAUCUUUCCUGCUUUCACAUUUCUGAGUAUGGGGACAAAAAUGAAGAAAUGUCCUAAAUGUAAGUGCUGUUGGCCAAGGUGUUUGAUGUUUAAGUCUAUAAUAUUUGCUGCACUGGGAAUUGCAGGAGGAUCAUAUGCAAUGGUAAUCGCAUGGAUUGCUAUUAAAAAGGGUCCCAAAUGUGAUACAGGAGAUAAUUUCUGGGACUAUCCCUUCUAUGAAUGGGACUAUCUGACUAAUAAAGUUUUGUGGCGUAAGUGCAAAAAACCUGUUGAUAUUGUGCCCUGGAACUUGACUCUCUUCUCCAUCCAGCUGGCAGUAAGUUCUGGUCAGGUGUUAAUCUGUGCAAUACAACUGGUAAAUGGCCUUCUUGGAGCAUUAUGUGGAGUGCGGCCUUGAAAUGAAUAUUGUAAGGGUAAGUAAUCUGCUUAAAGCUCUGUGAUGAGCCUUGACUACCCUCAUAAAAGAGCCAUCAUCUUUGGAAGGUUUCAAAGGAUUCCCCUGCUCAUUUCUUGAGGAGUUACUACUAUAAGGCAGCUUUGCUGAUCUCUUGUCCAAGCACCAGCUCAUGAAAUUCAAUAUUGGAAAAUGUAUUCAAAUAAAUGAAAAUCAGGAAAAUCAA